UUUCCUGAGCACUGCCUUUGUGCCAGGCUGGAUGGAUAACGGACAGAGCAUGAUUUUGGAAGUAACACUCAGUAGAGGCAAGUGCCAGGCCCAUCUGCUUAUUAGCAUUCUCUGGGGCUUCGUUUGCUGGUCCGUGACUGGAUGCCAUGUACGAGGCUGGGCUUUUGUGAGGACUGAUAGAAAUAAUGGACACACGCACUUAGCUUGGGUCUAGACUCCGCUACAGGCGUUCUGCUGGGCCCUGUGCCAUGUGUGGUUCCCGAUGACUCGGGAACCGGCCCUACCGGUGGUAGUUAAGCUAAGUCACUGGUGGCACUUGAACGAUCACAUUAGCUGGUGAGCACACACGUCCCCAGAGCCCGCAUUCCUUGGCCCUACUCUCCCACGCAUUUACAGAGGAACUCUUUUUUUCCUUUGCACACACGAGAUCGCAAGAGAUUUGGCCUAAUCCAUGUUCAAAUGGACUAUUUCCUCUGUCCUGAGGGGAGAGAUUGGGUUUAGCGUGGCUGAAUUGGUUAUUCAACUUUUAACUGCCUUCCUCUGGAAGCACACCCAGUGUUGCUGAUUGAAUCUGCCCUCGGGAGGGCGGCCCUGCCUUUCUAGCUGGUGCUUCUUGAGGGAGCUGGGCCCCCAUCAGACAGGAUUCGGGGCUAAAGGAAGUGCCCCCAUCUUCCUGGCUAACGGAAAUUCUUUCCUCUUCUUCUCAAAUCGAGGUAAAUUAAGCAGUAACAUGUUGCAACAAACAUUGUGGGCUUUCUUGCACAAAGGGGUUUCUCAAAAGUCCACUGGCCGAUUAAAAAAAGAGCAAAACCACCUGACUUAUUGUACGAAUGCACCCAUGGGUGUACCAAGCGUCUCAUGGGGGCAUGGUGAUCACCUGACAGGCUUGCCACAACUUCUGUGGACUGUUCGCGGACUCCGUCAGAGCGGUACACGUGGUUGUGUGAUGGCAGGCAGUUGUGUCUGUGCUGCUGAUUUUCUGGGUGCAGUAAUUCAGACCCAGAGAGGUAGGGAUCUGCUUAAAGCCAGGAACCGGUAACAUGUGAUGCGGGAGCCUAAGGUAGGCGGACAGGCCACAAACACCUCCGCCCCCGCCCCAGGUGGGAUUUGUGUGGUAUUCCUCGGGCACUCCUGACUGCCCAAGAACGAAGGAAACGGGUGAACAAAUGGUUGACUGAUAGAGAUCCUAGUCCUAUGGGACCCAGGUCUCCAUCACCCCUCCAUAGCGAUGUGGGAAGCAAAGGCAGAAGGAAAUGGCAGAUCGAACUAAAUUUCCUUGUAAUCUGCAGCCCACUGACAAAUCUUUGAGGCCCGCAGAGUGAAAGGUUUCUCCGGGAACUCUUUACUGUCUUAACAUUAAUGCUUUGCUUGAGGGAAAACAGCCUUAGCUUGACAAUAGAUAGGCCUCCAGUAUCCUGUGAGUCAUCUGUAGCAUAUGCAAAUCUCACUGGAAACUUCCCCUGGACUUGACCUCCUCCAGUCCCAUAGUUUAUUACCCGUCUCUCCUCACGGUCCCUGGGCAGCUCUUCCUGCCCACGGGUCCUGUCCCCGUGGUACAAGAAAAUCACCUUUUGGC